rnacentral:rRNA from 1 species
AACGAACGCUGGCGGCAUGCCUAACACAUGCAAGUCGAACGAGAUCUUCGGGUCUAGUGGCGCACGGGUGCGUAACGCGUGGGAAUCUGCCCUUUGGUUCGGAAUAACAGUUGGAAACGACUGCUAAUACCGGAUGAUGACGAAAGUCCAAAGAUUUAUCGCCAGAGGAUGAGCCCGCGUAGGAUUAGCUAGUUGGUGUGGUAAAGGCGCACUAAGGCGACGAUCCUUAGCUGGUCUGAGAGGAUGAUCAGCCACACUGGGACUGAGACACGGCCCAGACUCCUACGGGAGGGAGCAGUGGGGAAUAUUGGACAAUGGGCGAAAGCCUGAUCCAACAAUGCCGCGUGAGUGAUGAAGGCCUUAGGGUUGUAAAGCUCUUUUACCCGGGAUGAUAAUGACAGUACCGGGAGAAUAAGCUCCGGCUAACUCCGUGCCAGCCGCCGCCGUAA